AGCGAACGCUGGCGGCAGGCCUAACACAUGCAAGUCGAACGAUCCUUCGUGAUAGUGGCGGACGGGUGAGUAACACGUGGGAUCGUGCCCUGUGGUUUGGAAUCACUUAGGGAAACUUGAGCUAAUACCGGAUGUGCCCUUCGGGGGAAAGAUUAAUCGCGAUUGGAGCGGCCCGCGUUGGAUUAGCUAGUUGGUGGGGCAAAGGCCCACCAAGGCUACGAUCCAUAGCUGGUCUGAGAGGAUGAUCAGCCACACUGGGACUGAGACACGGCCCAGACUCCUACGGGAGGCAGCAGUGGGGAAUCUUGCGCAAUGGGCGAAAGCCUGACGCAGCCAUGCCGCGUGAAUGAUGAAGUUCUUAGGAUUGUAAAAUUCUUUCACCGGGGACGAUAAUGACGGUACCCGGAGAAGAAGCCCCGGCUAACUUCGUGCCAGCCGCCGCCGUAAUAC
rnacentral:rRNA from 1 species